UUACUACAGUAUGUCAACAUGAAAUUAUGACAAAUCAGGCGGGGAUGUACUAGCCCGGGGAAAACAGUAAGGAGGAAGGCAGAGUAGAGGGAAGUUAGGAAGAAUGAACUAUACCUUAAACUCUGGCAGCCUAUGCCAUCCUGGUGGAAAAUGAUUUUGACAAUAUAAUAGGACUGAAGACUGUAGCAAAUUCCGUAGGAACCUUUCAGAAGUUUCAAAAGUUAAUCUGAGAGUACUUGGAAAGGCUAGUCCAUCACCUUUUCCUGUGCAUGGGAUACAGCUGGGAUCACCACAGAGCCAGCUGAGCACCCAGCACUCCCACACAGCCUGUGAUGUCAGGCUCUGGCCUUGGCACAGGCUCUGCUACCUCUUUGCCUGCUGCAGCUGGCUGGCACCUCUGAGGAAGCUGCCACGUCACACCUCGCUGGAGUCGGGGAGAGUGUGCUGCUUCUCUGCACCUUCUCUGGAGGAAGCACUGUCACUUGUCUUUUUCUGGACCAAGAUUUUGGUGAUUUGUGUCUCCAUUUGAUCCAUACUGAAGGCAAUUUACCUGACAUGCUGAGGCAUGCAAAUAUGUAUUUAAAAGGAAGUCCUCUCCAUUAACCCAACCUGAAGAGACAUAUCCUCUUGGUUCCCAUGGUGGAAGAUUACAGUAAUGUCCACAACCCACCCAUGAGAAGUACCAGGCCAGUUGGCUGCUGCACACUUAUAGAUCUGAAGAAGAGAAGGCUCCCAGCAACCUGCCAAGAGUGCCAUUCAACUCUGAAGUGCUGGUUUGGAGGGCAAUGCCAUGAGGUAGUGAAUUGAAAGCGGUGUGAAGCAGGUGCAGACUCCCUUUGAACUCAAGAAGUAAAGAACACCUUUUUUCUAUCAAAAACUUGGUCAACUCAUUGUCAAGUACCAAUACUGAGAAAAAUUACCAAACAACACAAAUAAAUAUAUUGGCAGAUUUCAGAAGUCUGUUUUAUUAUUAUUAUUAUUAUUAUUAUUCAGUCUUAUCAGAAAAUUGUAUUGGUUUUAUUCUGCAAUUAGCAAAAAUAUUUGAAUGUCACUUGUCAAACUGUGA